GUGACCUCAAAUCAGGUAGGACUACCCGCUGAACUUAAGCAUAUCAAUAAGCGGAGGAAAAGAAACUAACAAGGAUUCCCCUAGUAACUGCGAGUGAAGCGGGGAAAAGCUCAAAUUUAAAAAUCUGGCGGUCUUUUGGCUGUCCGAGUUGUAAUCUAGAGAAGUGUUAUCCGCGCUGGACCGUGUACAAGUCUCCUGGAAUGGAGCAUCAUAGAGGGUGAGAAUCCCGUCUUUGACAUGGAACUGCCAGGGCUUUUGUGAUGCGCUCUCAAAGAGUCGA
rnacentral:rRNA from 1 species